rnacentral:rRNA from 1 species
UACGAGGGGGGCAAGCGUUGUUCGGAAUUAUUGGGCGUAAAGGGUGCGUAGGCGGUUUGGUAAGUCUUAUGUGAAAUCUACAGGCUCAACUUGUAGUCUGCAUGAGAAACUGCCGGGCUUGAGUAUGGGAGAGGUGAGUGGAAUUCCUGGCGUAGCGGUGAAAUGCGUAGAUAUCAGGAGGAACACCUGUGGCGAAAGCGGCUCACUGGACCAUAACUGACGCUGAUGCACGAAAGCUAGGGGAGCAAACAGG